CCAGCUGGGCAGAUGGAUCCUCCUUUUGUCAUCGCUGGAUCAGGAUGGAGAUCAAUUUGCAGUGAGAAGUGCACAAGAGUAUCUUCUCACCUGAAGAAAGAGUACAGUUUAAAUCAAGAGGAAGGGAAGCUGAAAUGACAUCAUUAUUCUUUGGUUUUGUGAAGAGUUAUCUUACUUGGGGAAUAUAAUCUGCAUUCUAGUAUACAUGAGACAAGGAAAUUCUCAGAGUCUCUUUGGAAUGCAUUAUUUAUAUUCUUGGUUUGUGUUUGGAUUUUUUUUCCCUAUUUUUAACCUUUAGAAUCUCAGUUGAAUGUGUUUAUGGACUCGGGACUUGUUUCAAAAUUCUCUCACUGACAUUGAAUCAGAAACCUGAAUUUUAAAGCUGUUCAUCAAUAUAAAUUAGAUAGGUUUUGGUCUGACGUUGUAGACUUCAGGUAUCUGUAGAUAUCUGAAGCCUUUCAAGAAGUACAAAUAUGUCUGGUAACAAAACAGAACAUGUCACUGUGGAAUGAGUUUCCUGAGGCUUGUGAGCUGCAUAUGUUAAUAUGUUACAGUGAUCUUAGAGAAGGGCUAUUACAGGGAAGAGUAGCAACUUGGUGAGAUAAAACUGCCUUUAUUCUUUUGAGUGGUUCCACUGAAUAUUCUCCAAACAUAAAAGUAAAUAUUGUGUUAUUAUCAGCUACCUUUUUAUUAUUUUCGAGUUCCUUAAUUUGUUCCUCUGGGAUUUCCAGUACUUUGAAAAUGUAGGCUCUGAUAUAACUCCAGGUGAAAUUUAAUGAUCAGUGAUGUGGAUUUACUUUGUGUUGGAAACUACUUUUUAGGAAGUUCUGAAGGAAAUAUGUUUGGAAGGACUUGUGGAUAGUUCUUUGUACUUCUAAUCAACACUGAAUAACCUGUGAAAACUCUUCUACACAGAAAAGAGAUUUCAUAUAAGAGCAAAUAAAAAGUACAUUAUAAAAGUACUUUUUUGGUA